UGUAGUUUUUCCCGCAGUUUGGCGUCCACACGGACUGAUAUAAAAAAUAUUAUACAAAUUUUCUAUGAAUUUAGAUCAAUAGGACAUUACAAUCCCCGUAUGUUUUGUUCCUCAGUGAUGUUCUAAUGGACAGAAUAUGUUUGUUCUGUGAUUGUUUUGUUUGAUAGCUAGUGCCGUGGCGGUUUUGUAAACACGGGAAACGGGACCCACGUCUAUGACUUAUCAUUGGCAGUAUGGCGGAAAUAGUGUACCCGCAAGGCUGCAGGCCUAUCACCGAUGACCUAGGACCCGAUGAGCUCGUGCGGAGACUUAAGGCGUUGGCACACACCCUUCAAGGUUUAGGUCAAGAUGAGGGAAUGUACCAGCAGUACAUUCCUCUGGCCCUCCACCUGGCCGACGAAUUCUUCCUCACCAACCCCUCCCGUGAUGUCCAGCUGCUUAUAGCCUGCUGCAUCGCGGAUGUGUUGCGUGUGUACGCGCCUGAAGCGCCGUACAAAGAUCAGGAGCAGGUGAAGACAAUAUUCCUGUUCCUAAUCAACCAGCUGCAAGGUCUCCGUGACCCGAAGGACCCGGCCUUCAAGCGUUACUUCUACCUGCUGGAGAACCUGGCUUACGUCAAGUCGUUCAACAUGUGCUUCGAGCUAGAAGACUGCCAGGAGAUAUUCUGCGCUCUGUUCUCGCUCAUGUUUAAGAUUGUCAACACGGAGCACUCAUCCAAAGUGAAAUCCUUCAUGCUGGACGUCCUCUGCCCACUCAUCACGGAGUCCGACGUGGUCUCCAACGAGCUGCUGAACGUGAUCCUCAUGAACCUCGUGGAGCCCAACAAGCGCGAGAGGAAACACGCGUAUGCGCUGGCCAAGGAGCUGAUCAGCAAGACUAGCGAGACCCUGGAGCCUUACAUACAAGCGUUCUUCAACCACGUCCUAAUCCUCGGCAAGGAAGAGAAAACCCUCCUCAUCUUCUCCAAAGUAUACGAGCUUAUCUACGAACUGAACCAAUGCUGCCCCUCCAUCCUCAUCGCCGUGCUACCCCAGCUCGAGUGCAAGCUCAAGUCAGCGCAGUUCCAAGAACGACUCAGCGCUGUAGCAUUACUUGCUAGAAUGUUCUCCGAACCCGGCUCAGGACUCGCCAAACAGUACCCAGCUCUCUGGCGGGCCUUCCUAGGACGCUUCAAUGAUAUAGCAGUACCUAUAAGGAUCAAAUGUGUCCAGUACUGCAUGCACUUCUUAGUGCACCAUCCGGAUUUAAGAAAAGAUAUUACUGAAACGCUGAAAAUGCGACAGCAUGACGCUCACGAACAAGUUAGGUAUGAAGUCGUUAUGGCUAUUAUAGCUACCGCUCAGAGAGAUUUCCAAGCUGUAGCUGAAUCGGAAGACCUACUGCAUUUUGUAAGAGAAAGAACUCUUGACAAAAAAUUCAAAAUCCGCAAAGAAGCUAUGUCGGGUUUAGCUAUGAUUUACAGAAAAUUCUUGACCGAAGAAAGUGUGCCGCCUGCUACAGAAAAGGCAGUACAAUGGAUUAAAGACAAAAUCCUUCAUGGAUACUAUAUGACUGCUCUCGAAGACAGAUUACUCGUUGAAAGACUGUUAAACACUUCUCUCGUUCCUUACACACUACCGCCUCAAGUUAGAAUGAAGAAGUUGUACUAUCUAAUGUCAAAUGUCGACGCUAAUGCUACUAAAGCGUUUAUAGAGCUGCAAAAACAUCAGUUGGCAGUCCGUCGGACAGUGGCCGAGUGGGUAGAGCUGCAUAGAAAGCCACCAACCCCAGCGGUGCAGAAGGAAUUGAUCGCUAAAGUGUUGCACAUAAGUUCCAAGUUCUUGCCGGAGUCGGUGAAGGCUCAGGAGUUCUUGAACAAGUUCUCUGCUCAUAUGAAACAGGCGCCUGAGCUGCUGCAGGGCAUGGAGAUUAUACUGAACCCUAAUGUUAGCUGUGAAGUGUGCGUUCGUACUACGUCGAACGUGCUAAAGAAACUCGGCCAGCCCGUGAUGACGAACCUCUACUACAACACAGUGAAGAUGCUUCUAGAACGCGUCAGCUCCGUUAUGAUCGACCACGAGGCGCUGCUCAUUCUUGUUGGUUACGUGGAGGGCGCUUGCAGGGGCUCUGAUGACUCCAUCGCUGAGGAGUGUGGCACAACACUGAAAGUGGCAGCAGAGCGCGGCCUGAAGCUCCUAGUGAUGCUUUCCUUCGUGUUCCCGGCUCACUUCUUACACUCAGACGUGCUGGAGCGACUCACAGCCCUUCUAGAACACGAGGACGAAACUGUGGCACCACAUAUUCUUGCGGCACUGACGUUCCUUGGGAAAUACCGCCCGCUGAGCGAGGCGUGUCCAUCUCUGUUUCCGCGACUGAUCAAGCUGUGCAAGGCUUACGCCGAAAUCGGCACGCCCAAACAGGCCAAGAAUGCUGUUAGAUGUCUAUUCGUCAACGUCCCAGAGCAACGCUCAGCCAUCUUCACCGAAAUCCUGGAGACUCUAAAGGCCACUUUGACUCCCCACUCCGAGCAUUACCGCACCGCCAUAGUGACGCUGGGACACAUCGCUCACAACCUGCCAGAGAACUUCCCGCUUCACAUCAAGAACAUCGUCUCCAGAAAGAUCGUGAAGGAGCUCCUAGUCCGCGAAGGCGGCGGCGGGCCGAACGCGCCCGACGACGAAUGGUGCGCCGAGGAGGACCUACCCGAAGAGACCCGAUGCAAGCUCGAGGGGCUCAAGUGCAUGGCGCGAUGGCUGCUCGGACUGAAGCGAGACGAACUGUCCGCUCAGAAGACUUUCAGGAUGCUGAACGCGUUUAUAGUGCACAAGGGGGACUUAUUACAGCAAAACCAGCUGUCCAAGGCGGAGAUGGCGUGGCUGCGGCUCGGCGCGGGCGCCGCCAUGCUGAAGAUCUGCGAGCAGAAGGGCGUGGGCGACCAGUUCACCGCGGAACAGUUCUACAACCUCAGCCAUCUCAUGAUCGACCCUGUACCACAAGUCAGAGAAGCAUUCGCAGCGAAACUACACAAAGGACUUUCAAAGGGCAUCCCGAACAAAUGCCUGCCGCUGGAUUUCAUGGGCAUGUACGCUCUGGGAGGAAGGGAGCCGGAGCGGCGCCUGCGCGGGCUCGUGCGCCAGUACAUGCUGGCCGACGUGGUGCGCCGGCGGGAGUACAUUCGCAACAUCACCGUCGGCACUAAAGGUCAGUGACCCCGGGCUCUCGUGGCUGACUUCACGGCAUGUGCGCUCUGGGUGGACGCGGCGCCUGCGCGGGCUCGUGCGGAAUACACUCGCAACAUCACCGUCGGCACUAAAGUCGAACGAGCAGUGUCCCAGUUGCCACACAUCCUGCCGGACUAUAUGCUGGUAUUCGCUGUGCCGGUCCUCACACACGACCCAUUCUUCGACACGUAUGACAACGUAG
rnacentral:misc_RNA from 1 species